UAAACGCUGGCGGCGUGCAUGAGACAUGCAAGUCGCACGACGGAUCGGGCUUGCUCGAUCCUUAGUGGCGGACGGCUGAGUAACGCGUAGGUGACCUACCCCGAAGUGGGGAAUAACUGCCCGAAAGGGUGGCUAAUACCGCAUGUGGUCGCACGUUCAUUCGUGCGAGUAAAGCCGCAAGGCGCUUCGGGAGGGGCCUGCGUCCGAUUAGCUCGUUGGUGGGGUAAUGGCUUACCAAGGCGACGAUCGGUAGGUGGUCUGAGAGGACGAUCACCCAGACUGGGACUGAGACACGGCCCAGACUCCUACGGGAGGCAGCAGUCGGGAAUUUUGCUCAAUGGGGGAAACCCUGAAGCAGCAACGCCGCGUGAGGGAUGAAGGCCUUCGGGUUGUAAACCUCUUUUGUCAGGGACGAUGAUGACGGUACCUGGCGAAUAAGCCACGGCUAACUACGUG
rnacentral:rRNA from 1 species